rnacentral:sRNA from 1 species
UCCAGAUUUGCCUCUUGGGGACCUUGGCAAUGCCACUAACUCUUGUUCAAGCCAUCAGUGCUCUUGUCAAAGCCAUCAGUGUGUCGCCUGCAUUUGCGGCAUGCACCAACAUCCGUUGGUGUUUUUCCAACUGAGUGCUUCGGUGACCAGUGUUGAAGCUGCCCAUCUACCCUGGAUCAUGGCUUCUCAAGCCCUUCCUCUUCUCCGUGUGUCCUUCUGGCUAACAGGAGCCCUGAGAACCACACUGCUUAGAGACAGAGAGGAUGUGGAGCAGGAGAAGCUCUCGAUGUGGCUUGUUUGCUGGAGAGGCUGCGGAGGUCCGUAACUUUAUCUGGAAGGUUUUCACCCGAACUUGAGGCACCAUGUCUUUCUGAGAUAGGACCGGGUCUGCCUGUGUGUAUUGGAUCCUUGCUCUUGUUUAGAGAAUAUGUCUUUAAAAUGGGUGGUCACAGGUGAGCAAACAGUCAUGUAGUCUAAUCCAUUCUUCCUCUUCUCAGUAAGAGCUCCCAAGCUUCUUACCAGAGUGCGCCGGUCUCCAUAGCUCUAUGUGAGUAACCCUACGCGAGGUGAGAGCAGGUCCAGCCAAUCGGAGUCUGUUUCUUUCCUUGCUAUGAUACUUCGUUUCAGGUGAGCCAGGCCAGGAUGGAUAACGACUCUAUUUUGGACACUGCUGCAUCUAUUAGGAAAGAGGAAUUCUUACUGCGCUUCACGGUUGACCACCCGACUGUUUGAGAUUGAGGCCAAUCACAACAAAGCAGAAACAAGAUACGGAGACUUUGCGGAAGCACCUGGUGGAACACUCCUGGGCUUGUUUCCAUGGACACGUUUCCGUCUUCCUCAUCUAGAGCGAGUUCUCAGUCUGUCGUUUAAAAUCGAGGUUGCCCUGCCUCUCUCACACCAUCCAGAUGCUCCAUUCAGACAAACUGCUCAGUUCGGUGACAAAAUGUGUUGAUGAGUUUAUCAAUCGGUGCUUAGGCUAGACUCGCUCUAAUUUACUGAGAUUGACUGACUGGUAAGGCAGCCCAGAACUGAGUAGGAUCUAAAGGAAAGCUUAGCUAUUAAGGACAGACCAGAGAAGUUUUGUGUGGAGGCUAAGAGGAAGCACCAAGAGCUUUAGGCAGCUGGGACCCAUGCUGUCUUGGUGGAAGAAGAUUUAGAACUCUGUCUCUCAGAAGACGUAGUCUCCAACUGGGUGGCCUUACCCUUGGAGGCAAGGACCUGGGUAGAUUGUACCCUUUUCUCUUAGAAAAAAAUCUACAUUCCCUUUCACAAAAAGUUGUCCAUGUUAGUCUGAGAGGGCCACAGAAUCGCAGACACUCAGCCACAACCCCCUGGAUGUCCCAGGUCAAAACUAAAGGUUUCAAAGAGACAAACGACUCAUCGGUAAAAGAAGACAUCUAGUGAACACUUGAGCUGUCACUCAAGUCAGAGGAAAUGAAGUGCAGAGCAACACCAUAGCAACAAGAGAGGAGAACACACAGAGGAGGUGAUGGCAGCAGGGAGGAAAGCCAUCUGAAGCCACAUGUAGUGGGAGGUCUUCUGCCCUCAUAGCUGUUUGAUCUCAGAUUCUGUGAGACAAUGUGUGUAAAGCCCUGGACAAGAGACAAAGCUCAGGAUGGAGCAGCUGGGGAUGAUCGCAUUUUGGAUGAGCUGCUGAGAGGCGGGACGACAUUGCAGGUAAUGGCACAGCUUCUGGAGUGGGACCACCCGCGUUCUCCGCUCAUCUUCUUCCAUGGAAUCUUUAAGCAUCAGUGUCUUCUUCACCUGCAAAACCAGGAUGGCAGCAGUGCAAAGCUUCCAGCCACAAAGUUAUCCUAUCCUGGGAAUCAAACAAACUCAGAUCAUCGGGUUCAAGCGCAAGUGUCUUUAUCCACCAAGCCUUCUUGCUGGUCCUUUUCAAAAGUUUUUAUUGUAUCUAAUUUAUGCAUGGAUGUGGUGAUUUAAUACAUGCAAGAAAGCACACAGUGACACACUCAUAGCAAGCAGCUACAUACACGUGCUAUACGUGGAGAUUUUGUAGUUAGUGGUAUAUUUGGAGUCCUUAAAGCUUGAAACAGGGUUUUAAAAAUAUUCCCACUUUCUUAAUACAAUAGAGGUAUUUCCAGCAACUCACAUGGAAUCAAAAGCAACCAUUAUUUUUCCUUUAGCUUUAAAGCAAAGCAUAAAAAAACUUAAAAAGAAUAAAGUUGCAACUUAAAAGAGCCAUUAAAUUUCAUACUUUCACGGAACUUUUCUCUGACCGAACACAAAGACAUUAGACCCAGCCAUUUGUACUGUUUCAUUAAUUCCAGCAACACAUACAAACUCCGAGAGGUCACCAAAACCAGGAUUGAAGUACGCCAAGUUUCUCAUCUUCGUAUUUGCUCUGAGUGUUUACUUUCCAUCGACUAAAGCAACGCAGGAACAUGCACUAAGGCAGGAGUAUGCGCCCCCAGUUCCGAGCCUUUGCAAUCAUCGCGUUAAUGCACAGUUGGUAGCUGGGUCCUGUGGGACGGGCUCCCUGGCAGCUGGGGCCCUCCCGAGCUGCCUUGCAUGCUUCUUUUGUUAAACUCAACAGAUAACGAAGCUGUUAUUUAGAACUUAAACUAAGAGAGGAUCAUUUGCACAGAGGAGGACUCGCCAGCCCUGCUGAGAACGGCAGGGUCAAGGAACGAAACUACAAACUACUUCCGGUGCACUUGCCUGCCGGGUUAUUGAGUCAGUGAACAUGAAACCCUCUUCAAGACACCUCUCUUUCCAACCUCAAUUCCCCCUAUUUUGACAAUUUCCUCCGGCUGUGUAGGGAAUAGCUGGAUGUUUCUGGAAGCCAGUGAUCAAUGCUCUGUGUCCUGAUGAGAAUUUCACUGGUUUUGGGGACAGUUUUGCCCUCCUGGUAUCUGAUCUUUGAAGACUGUGUUAAGUAGAGGCAGAUUAUAGCGGGCUCAGAAGACUUCUGGACACAAAGAUUUGGAGAAUCGUCUUCUCCUUCUUCUUCUUUAUCGGUUUUGUUUUUAAGACAAGGUCUUAGCGUGUGCCGGACCACUACCCUGACUAAAAUUGUGGCUUUAAAGUGAUGCUUUCAUUGUCUGCUUGGCAGUUUUGCCAGUCUAUUUUCUUAUUUACAAAUCUUUAUGCAAAAAGAACAUUCUCCCCGACUCUCAACAUUUCUUCAUGUUCUGAAAUGAGAAACACAAACACUUGGUUCAGAGUAAAUUCUGGGUCUACGUAUGAUGAUAACAUAUUUUAGAAAAACACAAGGAUUAUUAAUGUAAUCAUUAAUUCAUCUCUAUUCAUUGAUCAACUUGUGAUUCUGUAUAGUGAUUUUAAAACUUUGUGAAAUUAAUUUGCCAGUUAAAGUUAACAAAUGUUCCUCUUUUCUUCGGGUGCCUGUCAUUUGAACAUUCCCAUUUAUUUCUAUUAAAAUAUUUAAAAGGAUUCUUUAAUUGCU